CUGGAGCCCAGCCGGAGACAUCUCUGAGGCCUGGCUGUGUUUGAAAAGACUCAUCGUGGUCACCGUGUGGAAUGAGUGCUGUGUAGGUUCCAGGGCAGUGGCAGGCGGGCGCCUUAGGCACUGCUGAAGAUUCAAGUCAAAGAUGGUGGCCUUAGGGCAAGAAGUCGUGGGACCCUGCAUUGGUUUCGGGCGAAGCACUAGGAUUCUCUGACAGCUGGAUCCAAGGAAAGUGACCAGCAGUAGGAAGUCAGGGAUGGCUCCAAGGUCGUGGUUGAGCUGAUGGAAGAUGGGGGUGAGUGCAAAGGGAGCCAGAGAAGGCUGUGAACGGGGUUUUGAGGGAAGAUCUGAGCUACGGUUAGACAGAUUGAGUUUGUCUACUAGGUUGUCAGGUGGAGCUGUUGAGUAGACAUUUAGAAAAAGAGGUCAGAGUUCAGCAAAGUGUUUGGAAGAUGUGAACUUUGGAGUUGAAAGACACCGAGACAUUAAAGCCUUCAGGCUGACAGCUCCACAGGAAGGAAUAUUGGGAUAAAAGAAGCUGAGCCCUGGGCACCAGGGACGUUCAGAAGAGGGAAAGGAGAGCAAAGGAGGCUGAGAGGAGAGACCAAGGAUGGAUUGGUUGCAGUCCAAGGGACUCUCAAGAGUCUUCUCCAACACCACAGUUCAUAAACAUCAAUUCUUCAGUGCUCAGCUUUCUUUAUAGUCCAACUCUCAAGAUUGUGGGGAGCAUUAAGUAAACUAAACCAUGAGUCAUAAAGGAGUGAGUUCUCUCAGCCAUCCUCUGUCUGCUUGACUGCUGGUGGGCCUCCUAGAACAAGAGGAGCAGCCAUCUGCACCCACGCCGCCCAGCCAGAAAGCUGCACAGCCCUUCUCUUGCUGCACCUGAAGUGGUUCCACGGCGGGGAAAGGGUUCCCAGCAGUGCCCCCUCCUACCUUCUGGACCGAAAUCAUUAUUCAGAGUUUGGCAUCCUUUGGAAUUUCAAUAGAAUCGACAUCUUCAUCUCUAUUUUUAGCUUUUUCUUAUCAAAAGCACUGUUCUCUCCUGCUACCAUCUUUCUUGGAGACUGCACAUGAUUAAAAUACAUUUUCAUUAUAAACGGGAAUAAGACGAAAGAACUUGUUCUUGAUUGCAAUCACACAGGAUGAAAUGAUUUCCUGGUCCCUAGAAACUAGCUGGGACGACUCCCCUGGCCUAGUCAUGCUCGCCGAGCUGUCACUGUGACACUGUAAAUUAGGGCUUGCUGGUCUGCCUUUUCUAUUUGCUUUACUGCAGAGAGAUGAAAGGGCAGGGGAAGGAAAGUCAUGACUUCAGGCUCUCCAUUUAUCCAUUUUAAGCUUCACAGCAAGACCGUGAUGUAGGUUUUAUUGUCUCCAUUUUACAGAUGAGAGCACUGAGGCUCAGAGAGGGGAUCUGGCUGAUGCCACACAGACAAGCAGUAAGUGGCCGAGUGAGGGUGUGGCUGCUGCUCCUCCCCUGGACAAACACUUGCAGAGGGACUGACUGCUCUCAGGAUGAAGCCGGCACUCCGUCACUGG
ensembl:lncRNA